AGAACGAACGCUGGCGGCAUGCCUAACACAUGCAAGUCGAACGAGACCUUCGGGUCUAGUGGCGCACGGGUGCGUAACGCGUGGGAAUCUGCCCUUGGGUUCGGGAUAACAGUUGGAAACGACUGCUAAUACCGGAUGAUGUCUUCGGACCAAAGAUUUAUCGCCCAAGGAUGAGCCCGCGUAGGAUUAGCUUGUUGGUGGGGUAAGAGCUCACCAAGGCGACGAUCCUUAGCUGGUCUGAGAGGAUGAUCAGCCACACUGGGACUGAGACACGGCCCAGACUCCUACGGGAGCAGCGAGUGGGGAAUAGUUCGGACAAGUGGGACGAAAGCCUAGACUCCGAGACC
rnacentral:rRNA from 1 species